UUAUAAGUUUAUAUAAGUUCAUUUAAUAUUCAGUCUUCUGUCAGUUUGGGCCAGCCCACCUUCUAGUGACAUCAUCCGGUUAGUAAGGUGGGCAGUUUAAUGUCGGAUGAGCAGUGUUGGUCUGGAGGGGUUGCACUAAUUCCUGGGGAAUGUUAUGUGUGCGUAAAUGACAAGAAACCACACAUACACACCUAUGUACACCUGCUGUGUUUACAGCCCCAGGAAUUGAGUGGCGACAAUAAAGUGCCGCAAACUGAACCUCAAGCUCCCUUCUUCUUUCCCGCUCUGGGACAAUUUGGCCUCAAGUGGUUUUCUGGCCGACACACCGGGGUGACCGUAGUGCUCCAAGGUUGAAUCAGUGCCACAGCCGUGCCGAUCUUUGAUAUCUCCACUAUACUACAGUAACACUGGAAGGCCAUCAGCGCCCCCUGGUGCUGCCUUUGUUUAUCACAGUGAGAAAUGAAGCUUCCAGGCUGACGUGUGACUGAACACGUGCACCUCGGGGGCUGCCCUCAGAUUCAGACCUCAGCACCACCCAGUGACAGCAGACAGAUCAUCCAACAU